CCUACGGGAGGCAGCAGUGAGGAAUAUCGGUCAAUGGACGAGAGUCUGAACCAGCCAAGUAGCGUGAAGGAUGACUGCCCUAUGGGUUGUAAACUUCUUUUAUAUGGGAAUAAAAUGUUCCACGUGUGGGAUUUUGUAUGUACCAUAUGAAUAAGGAUCGGCUAACUCCGUGCCAGCAGCCGCGGUAAUACGGAGGAUCCGAGCGUUAUCCGGAUUUAUUGGGUUUAAAGGGAGCGUAGGUGGAUGGUUAAGUCAGUUGUGAAAGUUUGCGGCUCAACCGUAAAAUUGCAGUUGAAACUGGCAGUCUUGAGUACAGUAGAGGUGGGCGGAAUUCGUGGUGUAGCGGUGAAAUGCUUAGAUAUCACGAAGAACUCCGAUUGCGAAGGCAGUUCACUGGACUGCAACUGACACUGAGGCUCGAAAGUGUGGGUAUCAAACAGGAUUAGAUACCCCUGUAGUC
rnacentral:rRNA from 1 species